rnacentral:rRNA from 1 species
GGAAUAUUGGACAAUGGGCGAAAGCCUGAUCCAGCCAUGCCGCGUGUGUGAAGAAGGUCUUCGGAUUGUAAAGCACUUUAAGUUGGGAGGAAGGGCAUUAACCUAAUACGUUGGUGUCUUGACGUUACCGACAGAAUAAGCACCGGCUAACUCUGUGCCAGCAGCCGCGGUAAUACAGAGGGUGCAAGCGUUAAUCGGAAUUACUGGGCGUAAAGCGCGCGUAGGUGGUUCGUUAAGUUGGAUGUGAAAUCCCCGGGCUCAACCUGGGAACUGCAUUCAAAACUGUCGAGCUAGAGUAUGGUAGAGGGUGGUGGAAUUUCCUGUGUAGCGGUGAAAUGCGUAGAUAUAGGAAGGAACACCAGUGGCGAAGGCGACCACCUGGACUGAUACUGACACUGAGGUGCGAAAGCGUGGGGAGCAAACAGGAUUAGAUACCCUUG